CGACCUACCACCACAGAAAGCACUGAGCUCGACUGAAACACCUGCAUUUUGGAUCUGCCUUACUCAAGAAAACAAACAAGAGACCAAGAUACUUCCCGGGCUUAUGUAGGGCCACACCAUGGAUGUGGGAGAAGAGCAGAGGCAAGUCUCUCGGUAGGGUGUAGCGUGACACAAACCCCAGCUCGGCAGGGAUGUCCUUCUCCUCAGAGUACUCAAAUAUAGCAGCCAUGUACUUGGAGAUGUCUCUCCCCUUGGCUUUGGCACGGCCAAGCUCUUCCCCCAUCAGGGAUACUACGGCUGCAGUGGUGCUUCUGCUUUCCCCCGCAUCUCUCUCCGUUGGACGCCUCUGUAGUCCCCGGGAACAGAUGACCAGAACAAAGUCACUCUCCUGGAUCCUCCUGCAGUGCCAUCCCAUGAUCCCCUCCUCUGCCAAGCUUAGAGAAUCCCACAGGUCCAGAAACACCUGGCGCGACAAUGCAACAACAAAUAAUAUCAUAAUGAUAAUAAAACAAAUAAUAUAAUAUAUUAUAAAUAACAUUUACAUUUGUCCAUUUAAAAUGCAAUUUCAACCAAUAUUUUUUUUUUCUCUAUUUAUUUAACACAGACCAGGGCAGGCGUGCAUUCCAUUUGGGUUCAAAGAUUGGUGUUUCAUAAUGGUUUGAAAUAAAAUAACACGUUUCCCGCCAAAACAA